UACGUAGGGGGCAAGCGUUGUCCGGAUUUAUUGGGCGUAAAGAGCGUGUAGGCGGCCAUAAAGGUCAGCUGUGAAAACUCGAGGCUCAACCUCGAGACGUCGGUUGAAACCGUAUGGCUAGAGUCCGGAAGAGGAGAGUGGAAUUCCCGGUGUAGCGGUGAAAUGCGCAGAUAUCGGGAAGAACACCCGUGGCGAAGGCGGCUCUCUAGUACGGUACUGACGCUGAGACGGCGAAAAGCGUGGGGAGCGAACAGG
rnacentral:rRNA from 1 species